rnacentral:rRNA from 1 species
AUUGAACGCUGGCGGCAUGCCUUACACAUGCAAGUCGAACGGCAGCACGGGAGCAAUCCUGGUGGCGAGUGGCGAACGGGUGAGUAAUAUAUCGGAACGUGCCCAGUCGUGGGGAUAACGUAGCGAAAGCUACGCUAAUACCGCAUACGAUCUAUGGAUGAAAGCGGGGGAUCGCAAGACCUCGCGCGAUUGGAGCGGCCGAUAUCAGAUUAGGUAGUUGGUGAGGUAAAGGCUCACCAAGCCGACGAUCUGUAGCUGGUCUGAGAGGACGACCAGCCACACUGGGACUGAGACACGGCCCAGACUCCUACGGGGGGCAGCAGUGGGGAAUUUUGGACAAUGGGCGCAAGCCUGAUCCAGCAAUGCCGCGUGCA